UUCAAGCUCCCAUCCUUCCCUCGCAGAAGGUGGAAGUCUGGGUGGUCCAGCCUCGGCGAGUAAGGUCCGCAAAUUUGGCCGGCCCCGGCGAUCGGCUCCCUACACACAGCUACCCCUGGGGCGCUUCAUCCCCUGGGAGAAGAUGGAGGGCUCUGGGGGUGGGGCGGGGCUCGCAAACUCAAAGGGUCCCCUGCAGAUCAUGGCCUCAGGGAAGCCCCAACACCCUUGGGGCAAGGAGACCUGCAGCUGCUGGAGUUUGGCUUAAGGGCCCAUCCACAUUCUUCUGCACAGGAAAAUCCAAUUUUAUCCGCUCUAACAAAAGCCCUGCCGUUGCCUGAUACAGAGCCCACACCCAGAGUCAGCUGGUGUCUGUCUGGCUUGCUAUUUUUGAAAGGAAAUCCACUGUAGGCAUUGCAUUCGAAAGAGAAGCAGCCCUGUCCAGGCUUGGAGCAAUUCUGACACGCAAAUCUGAAACCUCCGGCUCUGAGCCUCCGCUUGCCCCUCUGUAAAAUGGGCGCUUGUGAAGCAGCUGCCAGGAGAGGCUGCUGUGGAGGCGGCCUACGUAGACGGAGCUCCAGUCAGAUCGCACAGGUUUUCUUUGCAUCACGAAGGAUGCACCAAAGGGCUGCUGGAAUGCCUUUGAAGACGUCAUGCAAUGACCCCAACCUCCAGGACCGCCACAUCGUGCACUCUGAAAACCAGCUUGAGCGAAUUUGGGGAAGGCUGUAUCAGUCUGAGAUUCCUAACUGGAGGAGGCAUUCGUGGAGCGCCUCGUGUGUGCCUGGUGGAACUGGAUUCUGGGCGUCCCUCGGUGAACUGGCCAGGCCAGAACGGGCUCUCGGGAGGUGACAGGGAGAGAGGGAGGGAGCAGGAGCUCCCGGGGGUAAGUGUCCCCCUUCUACAGCAGGGGUUCCACACUUGUGAGCGUGGAUCAGCCUCCCCUAGAGGGCUUGAGAAACGCAGAUUGCUGGGCCCCAGCCCAGGGCUUCCGCAUUCAGCAGCUCAAGGCUGGGCCCAGGUCAUUUGCAUUUCUAACGAGCUCCCAGGAGAAGCUGAUGUUGGACCGCACCUCGAGGACCACUGUUCAAACG
rnacentral:lncRNA from 1 species